rnacentral:rRNA from 1 species
GAUGAACGCUGGCGGCGUGCUUAACACAUGCAAGUCGAACGAUGAAGCUCAGCUUGCUGGGUGGAUUAGUGGCGAACGGGUGAGUAACACGUGAGUAACCUGCCCUUAACUCUGGGAUAAGCCUGGGAAACUAGGUCUAAUACCGGAUAGGAGCGCCUACCGCAUGGUGGGUGUUGGAAAGAUUUAUCGGUUUUGGAUGGACUCGCGGCCUAUCAGCUUGUUGGUGAGGUAAUGGCUCACCAAGGCGACGACGGGUAGCCGGCCUGAGAGGGUGACUGGCCACACUGGGAAGGGGAAACGGCCCAGACUCCUACGGGGGGGAGGAGGGGGGAAUAUUGCAAAAGGGGCGAAAGCCUGAUGCAGCGACGCCGCGUGGGGGAUGACGGCCUUCGGGUUGUAAACCUCUUUCAGGAGGGAAGAAGCGAAAGUGACGGGACCUGCAGAAGAAGCACCGGCUAACUACGU